AUGGCCAGAUCACAUUAAAACACUAGUUCUAAUAUGAUCACUGAAGUCAAGCAAUAUUAAGCUUGGUCACUACCUAGAUGGGUGACCACUUGGGAAUACCAGGUGCUGUA